GGGGGCGUAAAGGUUUCGACAGGGAGUAUGAGCUUCGGCAAGCGAGCAGUGGCACUGCGGAACCACUAUAAAAUCCACAGAAUUUCAAUUAAACGACAACACUAAAACUGUUGCUCUUGCUGCUUAAUUAGCGCAAGCGUUCCCGCCGGGAGGACCACGGCUCGUCGGGGGCGACGACUUAGUGGUGAAACUGAACAGAGAGUUGUCUUGAUCUCUGUCAGGACUUAAAGACUACCGAAGCGCAAAGCCUGUUAUUGGGCGCUGCGAUGGGGGAAUCCUAAAACAAUAACUGCGCUCGGAGAAAACCGUUGUAAGUGCUUUUUGGACACGGGUUCAAUUCCCGUCGCCUCCACU
rnacentral:tmRNA from 1 species